rnacentral:rRNA from 1 species
AGAAUCAACGCUGGCGGCGUGCCCAACACAUGCAAGUCGCACGAGAAAGGGACUUCGGUCCUGAGUACAGUGGCGCACGGGUGAGUAACACGUGAAUAAUCUACCUCCGAGUGGGGAAUAACUGAGAGAAAUCUUAGCUAAUACCGCAUAACACUUACGAGUCAAAGCAGCAAUGCGCUUGGAGAGGAGUUCGCGGCAGAUUAGUUAGUUGGCGGGGUAAUGGCCCACCAAGACGAUGAUCUGUAUCCGGCCUGAGAGGGCGCACGGACACACUGGAACUGAAACACGGUCCAGACUCCUACGGGAGGCAGCAGUGGGGAAUUUUGCGCAAUGGGGGAAACCCUGACGCAGCAACGCCGCGUGGAGGAUGAAAUCCCUUGGGAUGUAAACUCCUUUCGAUCGGGAAGAUAAUGACGGUACCGAGAGAAGAAGCCCGGCUAACUUCGUGCCAGCAGCCGC